rnacentral:rRNA from 1 species
GGAGUUAGCCGGUGCUUCUUCUGUGAGUGAUGUCCUUCCUGCCGGCUAUUAACCCGCAGGCCUUCUUCCUCACUGAAAGUGCUUUACAACCCGAAGGCCUUCUUCACACACGCGGCAUGGCUGGAUCAGGGUUGCCCCCAUUGUCCAAUAUUCCCCACUGCUGCCUCCCGUAGGAGUCUGGGCCGUGUCUCAGUCCCAGUGUGGCUGAUCAUCCUCUCAGACCAGCUACGGAUCGUCGCCUUGGUGAGCCGUUACCUCACCAACCAGCUAAUCCGACAUAGGCUCAUCCGAUAGCGCGAGGCCCGAAGGUCCCCCGCUUUCCCCCGUAGGGCGUAUGCGGUAUUAGCCUGGGUUUCCCCAGGUUAUCCCCCACUACCGGGCAGAUUCCUAUGCAUUACUCACCCGUCCGCCGCUCGCCACCAGGGAGCAAGCUCCCCGUGCUGCCGCUCGACUUGCAUGUGUUAGGCCUGCCGCCAGCGUUCAUCCUGAGCCAGGAUCAAACUCUGA